UUAUUUGUAUUGUAUGAUUUAUUGAAUAAAAUAAAUCCGAAGCGUGAUCAUUGCUGGUUGAAAACUUUACCCAAUACCCCGCUUGGCUGACUUGAAAAAUAGUCAGCCAUGGCAAUUUUUGCUAGUCUCUCUGGAGA
rnacentral:snRNA from 1 species